UUACGGCCAUAACACGCUGAAACACCAGUUCCUGUACAAUCACCAAAGUUAAGCAAGGUCGAGCCUCGUCAGUACCUAGAUGGGUGACCGCUUAGAAAAAGCAGGUACU